CCCCAGACUCCUACGGGAGGCAGCAGUGGGGGAUAUUGCACAAUGGGGGGAACCCUGAUGCAGCGACGCCGCGUGGGUGAAGAAGCGCCUCGGCGCGUAAAGCCCUGUCAGCAGGGAAGAAAAUGACGGUACCUGAAGAAGAAGCCCCGGCUAACUACGUGCCAGCAGCCGCGGUAAUACGUAGGGGGCAAGCGUUAUCCGGAUUUACUGGGUGUAAAGGGAGCGUAGGCGGCCAUGCAAGUCAGAAGUGAAAACCCGGGGCUCAACCCUGGGAGUGCUUUUGAAACUGUGCGGCUAGAGUGUCGGAGGGGUAAGUGGAAUUCCUAGUGUAGCGGUGAAAUGCGUAGAUAUUAGGAGGAACACCAGUGGCGAAGGCGGCUUACUGGACGAUGACUGACGCUGAGGCUCGAAAGCGUGGGGAGCAAACAGGAUUAGAUACCCCUGUA
rnacentral:rRNA from 1 species